AUUGCUAUUUUAUUUGGAUACACAGAGCCGACAUGGUUGAAAUACGGAAGUCCAGUUUCCACGGAGGAGAAGCAUAUUGGUCCUUCUCGACAACACUGUUCAAGACAUACAAAGGGCUGUAGUGGAGCGGGUUGAGAGCUUCAAGUUCCUCGGUGUCCACGUGACUAAGGAAUUAACGUGGUCCAUGCACACCAACACAGUUGUGAAGAAGGCACGACAACACCUCUUUCCCCUCAGGAGGCUGAAAAUAUCUGGCAAAGACCCUCAGAUCCUCAAAAAGUUAUACAGCUGCACCAUUGAGAGCAUCUUGGCCAGCUGCAUCAUCGCUUGGCAUGUCAACUGCUUGGUAUCCGACCACAAGGCGCUACAGAGAGUAGUGCGUACAGCCCGGUACAUCAUUGAGGCCAAGCUUCCUUCCGUCUAGGACCUCUAUACCAGGCAGUGUCAGAAAAAGGCCCUUAACAUUGUCAAAGACUCCUGCCACCCAAGUCAUAGAUUGUUCUCUCUGCUACUGCACAGCAAGGGAUACCGAUGCACCAAGUAUGGAACCAACAGAACUCUGAACAGCUUCUACCCCCAAGCCAUAAGACUGCUCAAUAUUUAACCAAAUAGCUACCUUGGCUAUCUGCAUUGACCUCUUUUGACUCAUCACGUAUGCUGCUGCUACUGUUUAUUAUCUAUCCUGCACAUCGACUCGGUACUGGUGCCCCAUGUUUAUAGCCAGGUUAACAUUACUCAUUGUGUAUUUAUUCCUCAUGUAAUAAUUAAAAAAAAAAUUAUUCUA